rnacentral:rRNA from 1 species
AUUGAACGCUGGCGGCAGGCUCAACACAUGCAAGUCGAGCGGGGUGAUGGUGCUUGCACUAUCACUUAGCGGCGGACGGGUGAGUAAUGCUUAGGAAUCUGCCUAUUAGUGGGGGACAACAUCUCGAAAGGGAUGCUAAUACCGCAUACGUCCUACGGGAGAAAGCAGGGGAUCACUUGUGACCUUGCGCUAAUAGAUGAGCCUAAGUCGGAUUAGCUAGUUGGUGGGGUAAAGGCCUACCAAGGCGACGAUCUGUAGCGGGUCUGAGAGGAUGCUCCGCGACACUGGGCCUGAGACACGGCCCUGACUCCUACGGGAGGCAGCAGUGGGGAAUAUUGGACAAUGGGGGGAACCCUGAUCCAGCCAUGCCGCGUGUGUGAAGAAGGCCUUAUGGUUGUAAAGCACUUUAAGCUAGGAGGAGGCUCUUUUGGUUAAUACCCAAGAUGAGUGGACGUUACUCGCAGAAUAAGCACCGGCUAACUCUGUGCCAGCCGCCGCGGUAA